UGGGUGAGGAGAGUAUCCUAAGGCCAGCGAGAGAACUGUUGUUAAGGAACUCGGCAAAAUGACCCCGUAACUUAGGGAUAAGGGGUGCCACCAUCAGGUGGCCGCAGAGAAUAGGCCCAAGCGACUGUUUACCAAAAACAUAGGUUUCUGCUAAGUCGCAAGACGAUGUAUAGGAGCUGACGCCUGCCCGGUGCUGGAAGGUUAA
rnacentral:rRNA from 1 species